rnacentral:rRNA from 1 species
GGGGAAUUUUGGACAUUGGGGGCAACCCUGAUCCAGCCAUGCCGCGUGUGUGAAGAAGGCCUUCGGGUUGUAAAGCACUUUUGGCGGGAACGAAACGGUCUGUGCUAAUACCACGGACUAAUGACGGUACCCGCAGAAUAAGCACCGGCUAACUACGUGCCAGCAGCCGCGGUAAUACGUAGGGUGCAAGCGUUAAUCGGAAUUACUGGGCGUAAAGCGUGCGCAGGCGGUUUCGCAAGUCAGAUGUGAAAUCCCCGGGCUCAACCUGGGAACUGCAUUUGAAACUACGAGGCUUGAGUGUGGCAGAGGGGGGUGGAAUUCCACGUGUAGCAGUGAAAUGCGUAGAGAUGUGGAGGAACACCGAUGGCGAAGGCAGCCCCCUGGGCUAACACUGACGCUCAUGCACGAAAGCGUGGGGAGCAAAC